rnacentral:piRNA from 1 species
UGACAAUUUAUGCUGUGAAUCUUUGUCCCA